GGGUUGUGAGGUUAAGCGACUAAGCGUACACGGUGGAUGCCCUGGCAGUCAGAGGCGAUGAAGGACGUGCUAAUCUGCGAAAAGCGUCGGUAAGGUGAUAUGAACCGUUAUAACCGGCGAUGUCCGAAUGGGGAAACCCAGUGUGAUUCCUCACACUAUCGUUAACUGAAUACAUAGGUUAACGAGGCGAACCGGGGGAACUGAAACAUCUAAGUACCCCGAGGAAAAGAAAUCAACCGAGAUUCCCCCAGUAGCGGCGAGCGAACGGGGAGCAGCCCAGAGUCUGAAUCAGCUUGUGUGUUAGUGGAACGGUCUGGAAAGUCCGACGGUACAGGGUGAUAGUCCCGUACACCAAAAUGCACAGGCUGUGAACUCGAAGAGUAGGGCGGGACACGUGGUAUCCUGUCUGAAUAUGGGGGGACCAUCCUCCAAGGCUAAAUACUCCUGACUGACCGAUAGUGAACCAGUACCGUGAGGGAAAGGCGAAAAGAACCCCGGCGAGGGGAGUGAAAAAGAACCUGAAACCGUGUACGUACAAGCAGUGGGAGCACCUUCGGGUGUGACUGCGUACCUUUUGUAUAAUGGGUCAGCGACUUAUAUUCUGUAGCAAGGUUAACCGUAUAGGGGAGCCGCAGGGAAACCGAGUCUUAACUGGGCGUUAAGUUGCAGGGUAUAGACCCGAAACCCGGUGAUCUAGCCAUGGGCAGGUUGAAGGUUGGGUAACACUAACUGGAGGACCGAACCGACUAAUGUUGAAAAAUUAGCGGAUGACUUGUGGCUGGGGGUGAAAGGCCAAUCAAACCGGGAGAUAGCUGGUUCUCCCCGAAAGCUAUUUAGGUAGCGCCUCGUGAACUCAUCUUCGGGGGUAGAGCACUGUUUCGGCUAGGGGGUCAUCCCGACUUACCAACCCGAUGCAAACUACGAAUACCGAAGAAUGUUAUCACGGGAGACACACGGCGGGUGCUAACGUCCGUCGUGAAGAGGGAAACAACCCAGACCGCCAGCUAAGGUCCCAAAGUCAUGGUUAAGUGGGAAACGAUGUGGGAAGGCACAGACAGCCAGGAUGUUGGCUUAGAAGCAGCCAUCAUUUAAAGAAAGCGUAAUAGCUCACUGGUCGAGUCGGCCUGCGCGGAAGAUGUAACGGGGCUAAACCAUGCACCGAAGCUGCGGCAGCGACACUAUGUGUUGUUGGGUAGGGGAGCGUUCUGUAAGCCUGCGAAGGUGUGCUGUGAGGCAUGCUGGAGGUAUCAGAAGUGCGAAUGCUGACAUAAGUAACGAUAAAGCGGGUGAAAAGCCCGCUCGCCGGAAGACCAAGGGUUCCUGUCCAACGUUAAUCGGGGCAGGGUGAGUCGACCCCUAAGGCGAGGCCGAAAGGCGUAGUCGAUGGGAAACAGGUUAAUAUUCCUGUACUUGGUGUUACUGCGAAGGGGGGACGGAGAAGGCUAUGUUAGCCGGGCGACGGUUGUCCCGGUUUAAGCAUGUAGGCUGAUUGUCCAGGCAAAUCCGGAUAAUCAAGGCUGAGGUGUGAUGACGAGGCACUACGGUGCUGAAGUAACAAAUGCCCUGCUUCCAGGAAAAGCCUCUAAGCAUCAGGUAACAUCAAAUCGUACCCCAAACCGACACAGGUGGUCAGGUAGAGAAUACCAAGGCGCUUGAGAGAACUCGGGUGAAGGAACUAGGCAAAAUGGUGCCGUAACUUCGGGAGAAGGCACGCUGGUGUGUAGGUGAAGUCCCUGCGGAUGGAGCUGAGACCAGUCGAAGAUACCAGCUGGCUGCAACUGUUUAUUAAAAACACAGCACUGUGCAAACACGAAAGUGGACGUAUACGGUGUGACGCCUGCCCGGUGCCGGAAGGUUAAUUGAUGGGGUUAUCCGUAAGGAGAAGCUCUUGAUCGAAGCCCCGGUAAACGGCGGCCGUAACUAUAACGGUCCUAAGGUAGCGAAAUUCCUUGUCGGGUAAGUUCCGACCUGCACGAAUGGCGUAAUGAUGGCCAGGCUGUCUCCACCCGAGACUCAGUGAAAUUGAACUCGCUGUGAAGAUGCAGUGUACCCGCGGCAAGACGGAAAGACCCCGUGAACCUUUACUAUAGCUUGACACUGAACAUUGAGCCUUGAUGUGUAGGAUAGGUGGGAGGCUUUGAAGCGUGGACGCCAGUCUGCGUGGAGCCAACCUUGAAAUACCACCCUUUAAUGUUUGAUGUUCUAACGUUGGCCCCUGACCGGGGUUGCGGACAGUGUCUGGUGGGUAGUUUGACUGGGGCGGUCUCCUCCCAAAGCGUAACGGAGGAGCACGAAGGUUAGCUAAUCCUGGUCGGACAUCAGGAGGUUAGUGCAAUGGCAUAAGCUAGCUUGACUGCGAGCGUGACGGCGCGAGCAGGUGCGAAAGCAGGUCAUAGUGAUCCGGUGGUUCUGAAUGGAAGGGCCAUCGCUCAACGGAUAAAAGGUACUCCGGGGAUAACAGGCUGAUACCGCCCAAGAGUUCAUAUCGACGGCGGUGUUUGGCACCUCGAUGUCGGCUCAUCACAUCCUGGGGCUGAAGUAGGUCCCAAGGGUAUGGCUGUUCGCCAUUUAAAGUGGUACGCGAGCUGGGUUUAGAACGUCGUGAGACAGUUCGGUCCCUAUCUGCCGUGGGCGCUGGAGAAUUGAGGGGGGCUGCUCCUAGUACGAGAGGACCGGAGUGGACGCAUCACUGGUGUUCGGGUUGUCAUGCCAAUGGCACUGCCCGGUAGCUAAAUGCGGAAGAGAUAAGUGCUGAAAGCAUCUAAGCACGAAACUUGCCCCGAGAUGAGUUCUCCCUGAGACUUUAAGUCUCCUGAAGGAACGUUGAAGACGACGACGUUGAUAGGCCGGGUGUGUAAGCGCAGCGAUGCGUUGAGCUAACCGGUACUAAUGAACCGUGAGGCUUAACCUUACAACGCCGAAG
rnacentral:rRNA from 1 species